GUCCUUCCUGCUCUGUGGGUUCUGAUUGGUCUAAACUGAUCAAGCACUCUUGCUCGGGGAUGGGUUCACUAACUAAGGUCUACGCCAAUCAGCACAUGGCCUUCUGCAGAAAGUAAAGUCCGCGGUUAUCCAAUCAAUGCAAAGCUUAAGUCUUUCACUCUGUCCUCUAACCAGGAAGAAGAAAGCGUGCUGACUCCAAGGGAGGCUGGUACCCGUUGAGACUGGAAAAGCCAGCCUCAGGUUGAAACCAAAGCACACAAAAGAGCAGAGUCUCCAGAAAUGCAGAGACCAGACAUGGGAUCCUGACCAAACUUCUUGGACUUUUUAGUUGCGGGAGCAAAGGAGAGUUGAUUUUUUGAUUGUUACUUCUAAAAAGCAUACCGAUGCAUCCAUACUUCCCCAUGGUACCUGAAAUUCCUACCAUUAGCCCUCCGUUCCAGAUUGCUAUGUCGGACAUGCCUUCAACCAAGUUACAGACAGAAGAAAGGAUUUAAGAUUAGACGGCUUAAUCAAAGAAUGCUUCUGCAAGAAAGUUCUAGGCACAACUAACCAAACCAACCUAACAAAUUUCUGAUUUCCACUGGCAUCCUGUCUCUUUCUGCCCUCCAUAUUUUGUUUUGGUUUUUGUUAUUGUUGUUUCCUUUACGGAAAAAGACCACCUUCCAUCUCUGUAUGUUCAAAUCCCACCAGUUUCAAGCCCCAGCUCAAGUGCUGACUUGUCCUUGAAACCUCUCCCAUAGCCUCAGCUGGAAAAAACAGCCCCCUCCCAAAUAAUGGACUGCUCACCUCAGUGUGUCCUCUCCACACUCAGUAUUCCCAGCACACAUGCUCUGCUGCAGGCUGUUUGCCUGCAAGACACCUGACGGGUUUAUCUUUUGUGUUCUCCACAGCUGUUACAUGUUGUGGCUGGGCCUUCUGCAUCUCUGAGAAGUAGGCAACUUUAGUGUUGAAAAGAACAAGCGCCAAUAGGUUUUCUUCAGGAAUUACAGGCCAAAGGAAUGGCUAAAGUGGUUCUCCGAGUGCUGGUCCCUGGACCACACCGUCAGCAUCACCUGGGAACUAGUCAGAAACGCAAAUGCUCGGGACCUUCAGAACGAGAAGCUCUGGGUGUGGGACCCAGGAAAACGUGUUUUAACAAGCUCUCUAGAUUCUGCUGCACUUUGAAGUUUGAAAACCACUGGACUAGAGGAAGGUCUUAAACUACUGACCGAGGAGCGAAUGAACCUGGUUUUCUAAGAGCAGGAAUGAAGGCCAAGUGACGAUCGAGGUGAGAACACUGGAGUUCAGACAGGCUGGAAACUGUGCUAAAGUCAGGAUCUGGUUCCAAAUCUGCCUCCAGAGCCUGGGCUUUAUUCCUCAGCUGUACCCUGCUUCCCCAACCUCCAUCUGGAUUAGGAUACUCGACUACGUCCUCUUUCCAUAGGCUGAUAUCCACAGGAUUUGUCAAUUUGUCCAUUCAGAAGGCAGCUCACAACAUCCGGGGUUUCAGUUAAGAAGGAUUACGGCAAAGAAGCUCGUUCGAUCUACCCUAACCUGGCAUGCUGUUAUAAAACGUUUCUGACCGUUCCUGGUUAACUAAUCUUCAAAAAAUGAAGGCUACCUAAGGAAAAGGUUGUGGAAGGGAAAUAAUUAGAGCAGAAGCAGCUCAAAAUGCUGCUCUUGCUUUUAUCUAUUUUUAAAUGAUUGCCAGAUGUCUGCAACUGACACCCUUAAUCAGUGAUUUCAAAGUUUGGAUGUGGUCGUCAAAAUGUAAUAUGACAGUGCUGCUAUUUUAUCGAUCUUUCUGGGGUUGACUUUUUGCCUUAAAUUUUUAAAAAAAUCUAUUUAACA